CGGGGUGCAGCAGGCGCGAAAACUUUACAAUGCCGGCAACGGCGAUAAGGUAACCUCGAGUGCCAGGUUACAAAUCUGGCUGUCGUGAUGCCUAAAAAGCAUUGCAUAGCAAGGGCCGGGCAAGACCGGUGCCAGCCGCCGCGGUAACACCGGCGGCUCGAGUGGUAACCGUUAUUAUUGGGUCUAAAGGGUCUGUAGCCGGCCGGGUAAGUCUCUUGGGAAAUCUGGCAGCUUAACUGUCAGGCUUUCAGGAGAUACUGCCUGGCUCGAGGCCGGGAGAGGUGAGAGGUACUUCAGGGGUAGGGGUGAAAUCUUGUAAUCCUUGAAGGACCACCAGUGGCGAAGGCGUCUCACCAGAACGGACCUGACGGCAAGGGACGAAAGCUAGGGGCACGAACCGGAUUAGAUACCCGGGUAGUCCUAGCCGUAAACGAUACUCGCUAGGUGUCGGCCACGGUGCGACCGUGGUCGGUGCCGUAGGGAAGCCGUGAAGCGAGCCACCUAGGAAGUACGGCCGCAAGGCUGAAACUUAAAGGAAUUGGCGGGGGAGCACAAGGGCGAAUGCG
rnacentral:rRNA from 1 species